GAUGAACGCUGGCGGCGUGCCUAAUACAUGCAAGUCGAACGCACAGCGAAAGGUGCUUGCAUCUUUCAAGUGAGUGGCGAACGGGUGAGUAACACGUGGAUAACCUACCUCAAGGUUGGGGAUAACAUUUGGAAACAGAUGCUAAUACCGAAUAAAACUUCGUAUCGCAUGAUACAAGGUUAAAGGCGCUACGGCGUCACCUAGAGAUGGAUCCGCGGUGCAUUAGUUAGUUGGUGAGGUAAGGCUACCAAGACAAUGAUGCAUAGCCGAGUUGAGAGACUGAUCGGCCACAUUGGGACUGAGACACGGCCCAAACUCCUACGGGAGCUGCAGUAGGGAAUCUUCCACAAUGGGCAAAGCCUGAUGGAGCAACGCCGCGUGUGU
rnacentral:rRNA from 1 species